UGGUGGGAUGCGCACUCUCUCAUCAGUAGCUCCCCACAGGGAAAGCUGUUAACAGGAAUAGGUGCAUCACCUGUCACUGAGCUAAAGUUAGCCACAUAAAUGUACGUUCAGUCUGUUAAUUAUUUCAGUCACAUUUGACUUAUUUUACGAAGUCAGCAUGACUUAACAGUUUCUUUCGUUUUUGACCUUGACAUUGUUGCUGGAUAGAUACGUUGAUAGCUAAAAUGCUGGCACUGCUAGUUAGCUAAUGCUAACGACGCUAACCGCGUUAGCUAACCUCCUAUUUGGAUGCCUCACUCUAUUUCCAGUGAGAGAUCAGCGUACUGGUCCUCCAUUCCCAACCCUGAAGCCCCCUGUCCCCAGCAGGAAAGACCAGGAGAAAGUGUUGGCUUAAGGUACAACUUCCUAUUGAGGAAAUAUCUGCACUCCACCACUGCCUGACAGCCUUACCCAGAAGACACUGGGCCUAUCGAGACUGACAAAGCAGAGAUGGGUGGCUGACAAGGAAAAAUAAAACAAAAUGCACACACACACAUUAUCCACAAUGUAAAUAAGUUGUAGUUACUUGUUUAUUUAAUGUUUGCUCCGUGUUAUUUUAGGAUUGUAGAUAUCUACUCCUUCAUAUCAUUCUCAACAUCUACAUAAUUACUCUAAAUAUCUAUCAAAUCAAAGUGUGAUUGAUAAUAUUGUAAAAGACUAUGGCUUAAUUUGUACAGUUUGAGGAAAUUCUGUGUGCUUUUUUCUGAGUUGAAAAACAUGCCUCCCUCACACACACACGUUAGACACAAUGUAAAUACAUUGUUUAUUUUAUGUAUGCUCCAUUUUAUUUGAGGAUUGUGCGCAUUAAAGUACCUUCACA